UACGUAGGGAGCAAGCGUUGUCCGGAAUCAUUGGGCGUAAAGAGCGUGUAGGCGGCUAGGUAGGUCCGUUGUGAAAACUCGAGGCUCAACCUCGAGACGCCGGUGGAAACCAUCUAGCUAGAGUCCGGAAGAGGAGAGUGGAAUUCCUGGUGUAGCGGUGAAAUGCGCAGAUAUCAGGAAGAACACCCGUGGCGAAGGCGGCUCUCUGGUACGUGACUGACGCUGAGACGCGAAAGCGUGGGGAGCGAACAGG
rnacentral:rRNA from 1 species